AUCAAUUCCAGAACAAGACAAGACCAAAAUCCCAAUGUGGCUGUGGUUUGGUCUGUAUGGUCGUAACUGUGCACACCAGAGCGAGCGCAAUGUGGGGAGGGACACAUGGCAACACAAGCUGGUGGCAGCGAAAAGGUUGAGAGGCUUCAGUCAUCAGCAACUGACAGCAAAACAGAACCUUGGUCAGUAACAGACAUGGAACUUAUGAGCACAUCCAGCUGGCCAAGGCAAUUAAUGGUGCUAUCACAAGGUUUGGGAACCUCUGGUCCGGACAAAACAACCACCUGGCUUGGAGAUGAGUUAUUUCCUCCUAAGAGCAGCCACUGUAAUGGCUGGGAAGCGGAAGAGAGAUUUAUUUCAUUC